GUCUAGAUACAGGAUAGGGGCACUGGAAGGUUGCUUUACAGGGAUUGUAGCGAUUAGGGUUUUCCUGUCAGUCCUCUGCCCCUUUGCUCAGAUGCUGACAGUGAAACCGUGAAGGCAGCAAAGGUGUGGAAACUCGCAGAGGUCCUGGUGGGUGAGCAGCAGCAGUGCCAGGAUGCCAAGAGCCAGCAGAAGGAGCAGAUGUUGCUGCUGGAGAAGAAGAGUGCUGCUUACUCCCAGGUGCUUCUCCGCUGCCUCACUUUGCUGCAGAGGCUUCUUCAAGAACACCGGCUGAAGACUCAAUCCGAGCUAGACCGCAUCAAUGCCCAGUACCUGGAAGUCAAGUGCGGUGCUAUGAUCCUUAAGCUGAGGUGAGCUGUGACCCCUGUGGAUCUUAAGGGAUUCUGUCUCACGUUAUCAGCCCUCUAUCCCUUACCCUAAUCUCUUUCCUCUCCCUUAUCCUAGCGCCUUGUGGGUAUCCAGUAAAUGUCACAUAGCAGUAUUAGCUUUUGGAUUACCCAAAAGCUUUCAACAUCCUUGAGACUUUUCUUUUACAGUCUUCUGAAAUAGGCACUUUACUGUGAGAUCAAUUGCUCGGGAAUUCAGAGUGACCUUGUUUAUCCUAUCAGUGCUUAGCCCACACCUUGACCGUCGGCAGGUACU
rnacentral:lncRNA from 1 species